rnacentral:lncRNA from 1 species
AAAGCUCUAUGUCCUGAGUCCUCACGAUAGCCUGCCCUGUAUUCUAGGCUCUUACUUUUAUAUUUUGUCUUUAUCUUUUUUAUUUUUACUUAGCAGAGACUCUAGCACCCCAGACUCUGGUUAACAUCCUGGCAUAUUCACCCAUGUGCUUACUCAUUUAUGUCACAGCUUUCCUCGGGGAAGCUUUCUGUGACUUUAACUUGUACCCCUCCAAACUAUCAUUAUUCUUUUACUUUCUUAUAUACAUUUACUUCUUUGUUUAUUGAUGACCUUUUCACUAGCAUUUAAUCUCCAUGAUGAGAUUAGAUCUCCAGGAAUUCGUUGGUUUUAUUUCCUCAUAUCCCAGUAUCUGUGACAACUUAGCACAAAAUAGGUGAGCAUGAAAGAAGUGUGACUGAUGUGUCCAGAACAAGGCUACUGGAGGUGAUGCAUAAGUAAUCUUAAAGAUACUUACAGCACUCCCGUUCCAUGAUGGGAGCAGCAGGAGGUGAAGAUACAGAAGUAAAACACACGCACUCUGCCUUCAGGAACCCGGGGUCGUCUGCUGAGCAGGCAGCCAGCUAAGCAUUGUGGCUUUUCCCGAAAGGCACAGCCUUUCCGGGAGUGGAAGCUGCCAUUCCAGUGUCGAUGGUUCCCGUGCCACCUCCGCUACGCUGCCUCAUGCCAUCAUGACCCCGAGAAGAACUCUGCCAACCAGAUAAACUCCCUGAGAUUCCAGCGUACGUUCCCUUAGAGACACCAGAGUCCACAGAAUCGUGGAGGAACAGGGAGAGUUGGUGCCAGGAAUCUCCUGUAGUUCGUAAAGGUCCAUUGUUAAAAAAGCCAUCAGAGGAAUUGUGUCAACCACGGCUUACUCCAAAUCUACCUUCUCCUCGGGUACCUGAAAUUAAUGAUCAAGCAUCAAGUCAACCAUUCGAUAAAGGAUGGACAAGGGAAAUGAGGAAAUCAGGAAAAAUAACUCAGAAGUCUUUGGAAGAAGAGGCAGUGUCUGCGACAGCUCUUCAGAGCAUAAGGAAGAUGGCAGCAAUGCAGGAAAUCAGUGAAAUGAGUCAACAGAUGAUCUCUUGCUUACUACUUUUGAUGAUUCUGUUGCCCUCCUAGAUGGGAAGGAAGCUUUCUAGAGGCUUGGAAACCCUGCAACACCCAGCCUUAUAUCUGUGGUCAUUUUAAAUGCUAAAUAUAUGUCUUUUGAUGCUAGGGAUCUCCUAAUAUUAAAUGGUGAUUGCUUUAGGAGUAAAAAUGAUGAAAGAGUUUUAAGCAUAGGAGAGUUUAGUGAAAGAUGUGUUAAGAAGUUUAGAAACUAGAGCAUGAAUAAAGGCUUUGUGAAGGCUAAGUUAGGAGCAAAGAUUGAAAUCUCUUUGUUCUCAGCAGGUCAUACAUGACACACGGAGAUCACAGCUGGCAUAGGAAGAGUGUGAGUGGGGUCCCUAUUCCUUUCAGCUUAAUUAGGCUGAGAGUCAAUGUGAUUUUUUUUCUGCUCCUUUGGCAAUGUACCAUGCACAGUUAGAGAAAGGCAAGGACAGGUGAGUAUUGUGUGUGGAUCAGAGACCUUGCAUUCCGAUGCAGAGAGCCUCCUGUUGCAAC